UAAUACGAAGGGACCUAGCGUAGUUCGGAAUUACUGGGCUUAAAGAGUUCGUAGGUGGUUAAAAAAGUUGGUGGUGAAAUCCCAGAGCUUAACUCUGGAACUGCCAUCAAAACUUUUUAGCUAGAGUAUGAUAGAGGAAAGCAGAAUUUCUAGUGUAGAGGUGAAAUUCGUAGAUAUUAGAAAGAAUACCAAUUGCGAAGGCAGCUUUCUGGAUCAUUACUGACACUGAGGAACGAAAGCAUGGGUAGCGAAGAGGAUUAGAUACCCUCGUAGUCCAUGCCGUAAACGAUGUGUGUUAGACGUUGGAAAUUUAUUUUCAGUGUCGCAGCGAAAGCAAUAAACACACCGCCUGGGGAGUACGACCGCAAGGUUA
rnacentral:rRNA from 1 species